AUUCAAAUAGUUUAAGUAAAAUAUUAGUUUGUGGAUCUAAUGAUGUAUAUUUACUUUGAAUA
rnacentral:tRNA from 1 species